CAGCCGCCACGGUAAUACGGAGGGGGCUAGCGUUGUUCGGAAUUACUGGGCGUAAAGCGUACGUAGGCGGUUUUGUAAGUUAGAGGUGAAAGCCCGGAGCUCAACUCCGGAAUUGCCUUUAAGACUGCAUCACUUGAAUCGUGGAGAGGUGAGUGGAAUUCCGAGUGUAGAGGUGAAAUUCGUAGAUAUUCGGAAGAACACCAGUGGCGAAGGCGGCUCACUGGACACGUAUUGACGCUGAGGUACGAAAGCGUGGGGAGCAAACAGGAUUAGAUACCCCAGUAGUCUCUGUCUCUUAUAC
rnacentral:rRNA from 1 species